rnacentral:rRNA from 1 species
AGAACGAACGCUGGCGGCAUGCCUAAUACAUGCAAGUCGAACGAACACUUCGGUGUUAGUGGCGCACGGGUGCGUAACGCGUGGGAAUCUGCCCUUGGGUUCGGAAUAACAGUUGGAAACGACUGCUAAUACCGGAUGAUGACGAAAGUCCAAAGAUUUAUCGCCCAGGGAUGAGCCCGCGUAGGAUUAGCUAGUUGGUGAGGUAAAGGCUCACCAAGGCGACGAUCCUUAGCUGGUCUGAGAGGAUGAUCAGCCACACUGGGACUGAGACACGGCCCAGACUCCUACGGGAGGCAGCAGUAGGGAAUAUUGGACAAUGGGCGCAAGCCUGAUCCAGCAAUGCCGCGUGAGUGAUGAAGGCCUUAGGGUUGUAAAGCUCUUUUACCCGAGAUGAUAAUGACAGUAUCGGGAGAAUAAGCCCCGGACUAACUCCGUGCCAGCAAGCCGC